AUUUUUAAUUUUGUAUAUGUGUUUGAUAAACUUGUAUUUUGUUAGAAAUGUGUUCGUUUCAUCUAAGCUGUAGGACUGAUUGAGACAGGGUCUCACUCUGUUGCCCAGGCUGGAGUGCAAUGGCAUAGUUGACUCCCUGCAGCCUCAACUUCCCAGGCUCAGGCAAUCCUCCCAAUUUUAGCCCCCUGAGGAGCUGGGACCACAGGUACAUGCCACUGUGCCUGGCUAAUUUCUUUGUUUUAUAUGGAGAUGGGUUCACUUUGUUGCCCAGGCUGAAGAAUUUAUUUAUACAAAGUUAUUUCUGAUAUUUGUUAUUCCUUUAAUGUAUGUGAGAUCCAUUUUGAAACUUAGGAUGUUACUAAUUUGACUUUUUAAUUUUUUAUUAAAACAUCUUGCAAGGGAUUUAUCAGUAGUCUCAAAGGACCAAUUUUUUGUCUUGUUAAUUUUUUCUGUUAUCUUGGUCUCUUUUCUGUUACACUUGUUUGUAUUCAUCAUCUUUUUGUCUACUUUUCAGUUAAUCUCUUUCUAGCCUCUUGUAUACAUUUAGAUCAUCAAUUUGUUUAUAAUGUAAGCAUUUAAAGCUAUAGAUUUCCCUCUAAACUUUGUUAGCUGUAUAUUACAAAUUUUAUAUUUUUAUUUUCUAAUUCCUCUUGAUUCAUGGCUUAUUUAGAAGUUUGAGUUUUUUAAAGGAGUGUGAGGAUUUUCUAGAUACUUCAUUGAUGUCUCAUUUAAUUGUGUUACAGUCCAACACAUAGUGUGUGUGACUUUAGUCCUUGGAAAUUUGUGAAAAUUAUUUUAUGCUACAACCUGUAGCUUAUCUUGAUAAGAAUUUCAUAUAUUCAUUGUAAAUAAUGUAUUAUAGUGUUCUAAAUGUCAUUUAGGUCAGGGUGGCUGACGGUGUUUAUAUCUUCUUAAUCCUGUAUGAUUUUUUUAAAAUCUCCUUUGUCAGUUAUGAUGACAAAAUCACCAGCUCUGAUUUUGGAGUCACCUGUUUCUGCCUUUAGUCCUGUGAGUUUUUGUUUCAUAUGUCUUUAAUCUCUGUUACUAUGAUGCAGAAAUGAUAUGCAUUUAGAAUUACUACAUCGUCCUAAUGAAUUCAUAUAAACAUCACCAUAUCUUUUUUCUUACCUCAGUGGUUACAUGAUGUAUUUUUAUUUCUUUCAGUUUAUCUGAAUCUUUGUAUUUAUGGUGUGUUUCUUGUGGACAGCAUUUUUUUGGUUUUAUUUAACAAUUUUUGUCUUUUAGUUGGAAAAUUUAAUUCACUUAUAUUUAGAGGAAUUAUUGAUACCAUUGGGUUUAGGCUACCAUUUUGCAGAUGUUUUUCUAUUUGUUCUCUCUAGUUUUUGUUUUUCAGUUUUCCUGCCUUUUAGACUAAUCAAGUAAUUUUUGUUUCAUUCUAUUUACUCUCUUGGCUUUUUACCAAUAACAGUAUUAUUUUCUCAGUUGGUAUUCUGGUCAUUACAUUGUACUUACCAUGUUAUACCUAGAAGGUUACUUAAGUUGUAAUAUUUUAUUUACAAUGUCUUGUAAAAUUUAAGAACUUACACAACUAUAAUUUCAUUCAUCCACCUCUGUUGUUUGUGCGAUUAUUGACAUGUAUUUUACUUAAUAAAAAUGUAUGACCCCCAAGGUACAGUGUUAUUUUUGCUUUAGACUUUAAGUUGAUUUUUAAAGAAAAUGAGAAGGGAUAAAAAGGAGUGUUUUGUAUUUACCUACAUAUAUACCAUGUUUGCUCCUUUUUGCUGCUUUUUGUUCCUUUCCUACAGACAUUUCUUUCAUUUGUUUUAGCACCGUUUCUUGGGGAGGCUUUCCUUUCUCCAUUGAUUUACAUUGGCUCCUUUGUUGAAAAUCAAGUGAUAAUAUGUAUGUGAGUCUGAGUUUGGGUCUGCUUUUAAUCCAGUUAAAUGAAUUUUUUAUUUCAGAUAAUUUAUGUUUUAGCUAUAUAAUUUUCAUGUAAAAAUCAUUGAUAAUUUGUGUCCAGUUAAUAUGUAAUAUGGCCUGCUUUUGUUGACUGUUUAUCUCUUGAUUAUGGGUUAUUUUUUCCCUCCAUCUUUGAAUAUCUUUUGUUUUUAACUAGAUACUGGGUAUUUUAUAUAAAAUAAUAGAGACCAAAAUAAAUAUGCUUUCUUUGGAAAGACCCACCCUUUUCUCUCUCCAAUUGCUAAGUUGAGAAGCUGAUCCCUUCCCUGCUCUUAGGAUUUGAGUUGGAAAUGUGAUAAUUCCAUGCUUUAAUAUCACAUCACUCAGGUUUCAGGGAGGAUCAGUCCUCUACCUCAGCAGGACUUUGAGGCAUGAGGCUGCAUAUUCUCAUUGCUUUCCAGCCUUGCCCAAGACUUCCUGUGCUACCAUGUACUCAGCUAAAAACAUGUAUUGGAACUGACUAGUGAAGAGGACUAGCUCUGCUUGCAGCUUCUUAGGUUCCCAUUGUCUGUGCAUGGCCAGUGAAAUUUUAAUUGGCUUCGCUUUUGGCAGGCCCAGUCCUUUGUGUCCUGAUUUGGCAGAUGCUAUCAGUAGUGAAAGUGAUUACCACUGUCUUAACUGAGGAGGAACUCAUCCCUCUCUCUAAAUUAGUUCCUGCAGACUUAUUUAGAUCUAUAUCUGUAAGAUAACUUUAAAGAAAAAUAGGAGUUUUAAAAUUUAUUGUCUUACCUCUAUUUCAGAAGCAAAGGAUUUCCCCAGUCUUCUACCUACUAACUGUAAGGGGAACUCUAUAGGAGUUUCUAAUAAAAACAAAAGCUGCUUUUUUUCUCAUUAUGAACGGAAUUAUGCUCAUAGAAAAUUUGGGAAUAUAUAAAACCUAAGAUGGUAUCACAUUGGGGAUUAAGUUUUUUAAAACAAGAAAUGAGAAAAUGGUUAUUUGUGCAUUAUAUAUUUCAUAAGCUGAAUUUGACAAUUGUGUUCACUUUGGCAGGGAGGCUUAACCUCUUAUUUCUACCAUUCUAUGUCAGAUAAAAGUUAGGUUAUGAUGUAACAUUUCAAAUGAUACAACAAAUGGAUAUUCAUUAUAAAAAAUUAGAAUAGUUAGAACAGGAAAACUUAAGCAUUGCAUGUAAUUGUAUCUAGCAACAAAUUAAAAUUUUAAAAGGUUCAACUUUUACCAGAAAUUAAAAACACAACACUGUAAUUAACCUCCGAAAAAUAGCUAGAAAAUGCAGAGAAAUUCAGUAGGAUGUCAGAUUCUAGAGUUCCUGCUCUUGUUUACUACACUAUAUCUCUGGCUGAUUUUAGGUGACAUGGGGGAGAAAUGGGUGCUUUUGGUACAUAUUGCUGAGGUUUAGAAUAUAAUGAGUUAUCAUUUUUGGGAUAAGGUCGAAAGAACAAUCCAGGGUGAUUCCCAGUUUUCUGGAAGGUUUGUGAACACUUUGGUCUAUAUUUUAGUAAAUUAGACUUUUUAAAGCAUACAUUUUUAUUGUAUAUUUUUAAGGUAUAUAACAUGAUGUUUGGUGUAUGUAGUGAAGUGGUUACAAGAGUAAACUAAAUCCAUCAUCUCAAUAGUCAGCUGUUUGUGUGUGUGAUAAAGUCACCUCUUUGUGUGUGUGAUCAACUCUAAAUUUCCAGUGUACAACACAAUAUUGCAACUGUAAUCCUCAGGUUGUACAUUAGAUCUCUUAGGCUUACCUUACAUAUGUACGACUUUUUUUUUAUACCCUUUGACCUAUAAUCCUCCUGUUUCCCCCCAACCUGUAAUCGCCAUUUUAUUGUGUUUCUAUGUAUUUGGUUAACAAAAAACCCUACAUACGAGAUUAUGUCAUGUUUCUUUCUAUGUCCACCUUAUUUCCAUUAACAUAAUGUCUUCCAGAUUCAUCUAUGCCAAAAGUGGUAGGAUAUCUCUUUUUAAGGCUGAAUAACAUUCAGUUGUGUGUGUAACCCACCGUUUCUUUUUUCAUUCAUCUGUUGAUGGGACACUUGGGUUGUUUUCUGUAUCUUUGCUAUUGUGAAUAAAAGCAGCAAGAGAAAAAGCAAUAUGCCACAUAACAAGGAAGUCUUCAUUAGACAAUCAGAUUUCUCACCAGAAAGUUUGCAGACCGGCCGGGCGCGGAGAGAUGGGUGGUGUAUUUAAAGGGCUGAAAGAAUUAAAAAACAAAACUGAAAUUAGCCGAGUAUGGUAGUAUGCACCUGUGGUCCCAGCUGCUCAGGAGGCUAAGGUGGGAGAAUUGCUUGGGCCUAGGAGGCAGGGAUUGUACUGAGCCAAGAUUGUGCUACUGCCCUUCACUCCAACAUGGGUGACAGAGUGAGGCCCCAUCUAAAAAAAAAAAAGUACCCUUGCCAACCAAGAAUACUAUAACCAGGAAGGCUGUCCUUCAGAAAUGAAGGAGAAAUAAAAAAAUUUCUCAAACAAAAGCUGAGGGAGUUCAUUAGUGCUGGUGUGGUGAGGAUGGGAAGCAACAGGCACACUCAUUUAUCGCUGGUCAGAAUGAAAAACGGUAUAGCCACUUUGGAAGACAGUUUGGUGAUUUCUUACAAAACGAACCAUAUUUUUACCAUAUGUAUGGUUUAGCAGCCUUGUUUCUCCUUGGUGUUUACCCAAAUGAAUUGAAAACUUAGGUCUACACAAAAACCUGCAGAUAGAUGUUCAUAGCAGUUUUUUUAUAAUUAGCAAACUUGGAAGUAACCAAGAUGUCUUUAAUAGGUGACUGAGUAAAUGAACUGAUACAUCCAAGUAAGGUGCAACAGGUCUUCAAGUAAUGUCAUUUCAUUGUAAUGAUGAUUGGGGAAAGUUGGUUUUGUUGUACAAUUAUUUUGCUUAAAAAGUCAGUUUUCAAAAAUGUAUGGAAGAUGUUAAAUGAGGACUUACUGUAUGACAUUCUGGGGAAGGCAGAACUACGGAGACAAAGAUAAGUGGUUACUGAGACUGUGUGGGAGGGAAGGAGGACUAGGUGGAGCACAUGGCAUUUUUAGGGCAGUGAAACUACUCUACUUGGUACUAUAAAUGGAUACACGUCAUUAUACAUUUGUCAAAACCCAGAGAAUGUGUAACAUAGUGAGCCCUAAUGUGAAUUAUGGACUUUCAGUGAUAACGAUUUGUGUAGGUUCAUUAUUAUAACAAAUGGACCAUUGUGGUGUGCGGGUAUUGAUGGGGAACUUGGGGAAGCAGGCCAGGGGUCAUAUGGGAGCUCUUUGUACUUUCUGUUCAGUUUUGGUAUGAUCUUGAAAAUACUGUUUAAAAAAAUGGUCUAUAAUUAAAAAUUAAUGUCCCCUUAAAAGAUAAUAGAUCAAAAAAAAACCGGGUGAAUAUUUGCAAAUAGAUGACAAGUCUAAAACUGAUUUUUAAGUUUAAAAAUGUACAUAUCAAGAA